AUGUGAUCUGCGAGGUCCUGCAAACAUACACUUACUUGCUAAACCAGAGUCAUUAAGGAUCCAGCUUAUUGGCAGUUUGGUAAAGAAUUGCUUAUCUGCUGUUUAUCUGCGGUUAUUGAACUGUAAAGUGUCAGUACAGAUAGCACACAAGUGGAAGAGAGAGGGGAUGGCAACAGAAAGGACCUAGAGCUGGAACACUUUUAUGGCGUUAUUUUUUAGUCAAAAGUUAUG